CUGAAAGUGGUUAAUGCCUCAGUUCCUAGAGUUCCUGCCAUUGCCACACACUCUACCCCUAGCACUGUGUGGGGCACAUGGACAGCACAUGGGGAACCUGUGAUUGGGUCUCUGCUCUCCAGGAAUGUCUAGCACGCAGGCAACAUCACAAAGGAGGGCAGGACUGGCUGUGGGGUGCAGUGGACUGCAAAGGGGGAGAUAGGACAGAGGCUUUUAGCAACUAGGGGAAGUUUCACGAGGAGGAGGGGCUGACACCUGAAGCAGAGAUGAGAGUCCAACAGGCAGCAGGUGGGCGGGGAUCUGUGUCUGCAGAAGUUCAGCGGUGAAGGCUACACCAGGAAAUCUCAAGAGACAGAAAAGAUCAACUACACUGGAGCUGGGGGGACGUGAAGGAGAAAAAAGCAAACAGGGGCUGAGCAGCUGCUCCUUCCAUUCAUGGAUCAUUGAGGUCUCUGGCUGCCCUGUGUGGUUCUUUCCUUGACAUCACUUGGAUCCCUUCAUAGCUCACCAGGUCUUACUUGGAGCCAGCUAUUUGAAGCCUGAUUAACUGGAAGUGGAAUUUAUAUCUUUCAUUUAAGGAAUUUCUAAAUACAGGAAACUCAAUGCAUUUUACCAUCCAAAAGUGUUUGACAUGCCUAAGGAAAUGGAGCAUGAGGUUAUAUUAUAUAUCAGGAGGCAUCUAGUGGUGUGCUGCAGGGAUGUGGUGCUCUGGACUUGGUUAGCAUCUUUAUCAAUGGCAAUGACAAAAAGGGCAUCCUCAAUGAAUAACUGAAAGAGUUGAAGGAGAGAAGGAAAGAAGGGAGAGUGAAUAGAGAGAACAUUUACUAAAUGUGUAAUUUUCACACACAGUGUUGCAUUUCACCUUUCCAGCAACCGUAUGGGACAGGUGCUGUUCUCCCCAUUUUAUGAAGCAGGAAAUUGAAGCUCUGAAAGGGUAAUGAAUAGGCCCACAAGGACACAGUUGGUAAAGGAAGGGCUUGAAAUUUGAACCUACUGUAUUACAAAUUCUGCAUGCAAAAGUUGAACUGUGAUACUUAUGAGAUGUGUCCUUUGAUAAAACACACACCUGACUAAAUGUACCCAGGCAAGAUGGAGGAAAUAUCAUACCUUGUCAACAACGUGUGUAAAAAAUGGGCAUCAUUAUUUAUAACUAUUUUAAGUCCUACUAACUAGGGUAGGUAAUAGUAUUCUACCCUGCCAUGACCAGGCCACUCCUGGGGCACUGAGUUUAAUACUCAGGGCGUUCAGGAGACCCAUCUAUUCACCGAUUCACCUUGGCUGCUUUUGCACCAAAAUAGAAGAGUGGAGUAGUUGCAAUAGAGCUGAAAAUAUUUACUAUCUAUCUGGUUCCUUAAAGAAAAAAUUUUCUGUGCCCUGAUCUGAACCAGUGUUUUCUAAACCUUGAUUAUACUCCCACCUCCUUAAUCUUUUUUGUGUAUGGCAUCUUUGAAGUCCAUUUACACUAUUAUUUACUUUGUAAUUUUUUAAGUCAGUACGGUAUUUUUUAAAAAUUUAAACACUAUUGUAACCUCAUCCUAAGCAAAUGAUAUCUUUGUAAUAACAGGUUUUGUAUGUAAAUCAUAUAGGUUUAUAACAUGUUAAGAUAUAUUUUUAUAUUUGUAAUACAUAUAUUUUCAAUAUUGAUAUAUGCAUAAGUACAUACAAUAUUCAAUAAAAUAUUAAAACUAAUAAA
rnacentral:lncRNA from 1 species